rnacentral:rRNA from 1 species
UUUUGAUCCGGNCUCAGGANGAACGCUGGCGGCGUGCUUAACACAUACAAGUAGAACGAUGAAGCCGCUUCGUUGGUGGAUUAGUGGCGAACGAGUGAGUAACACGUGGGCAAUUUGCCCUUCACUCUGGGACAAGCCCUGGAAACGGGGUAUAAUACCGGAUACCACUCUGUCCCGCAUGGGACGGUGUUGAAAGCUCCGGCGGUGAAGGAUGAGCCCGCGGCCUAUCAGCUUGUUGGUGGGGUAAUGGCCUACCAAGGCGACGACGGGUAGCCGGCCUGAGAGGGCGACCGGCCACACUGGGACUGAGACACGGCCCAGACUCCUACGGGAGGCAGCAGUGGGGAAUAUUGCACAAUGGGCGAAAGCCUGAUGCAGCGACGCCGCGUGAGGGAUGACGGCCUUCGGGUUGUAAACCUCUUUCAGCAGGGAAGAAGCGCAAG